UCACCUGGGACAUCCUGCUUCUGAACAGAAGUCCAAGUCCAGUAGGAAGCAUCCCCAGCUCACCCAUAGGAGCAGAACCAUUGAUGAACAGGAUUUCCUCUUCUGCAGCCAAGUACAAGCAGGAACAGGAUGAAUUUGUCUCUGAAGAAGCUGGACAUGGUGAUGUGUCAUGCUAGAACUCUGAUGAACUUUAAACUACAUCUUUGGGAGCUUAUUCCAUACCUUGUGAUGGAUCAGAAGAGAUGAAAAUAUGUUUCUGUCAGUCUGAAUAAAUGUUCUGAGUCUGUUGGAUGGAUGACA